AUGAACAAAGUGCUAAAUGAGAGAAAUAUCAAGGCAUGGGAAGACAAAGAAAAAGCAAAAUCAGCUAAUAAGUAUAAGAAAUUAACACCCACAUGAAACCUUUUUUUUUCUUGUUUUAAAUAUUUUUGUUUACUGAAAUUGGAUUGAUCGAUGUUAUCUUACUGGAAUUAAAUAUAUAAUCAAAGGGCUCAGAGAAUGUUAUCAGACAUCAAAACAUGGGAGGAAAAAAUGAAAAUAUCUCAUGAGGCUAAGACCAUGAAGAUUGAGGCAGAAUUAGAGAGCAUAAGGCAACAUAAACUUGAGAAAAUCAAGAAUGAGGAAGCUCAGAUACAAAAGGCAAUGGAACAGAAGAAGGCAGCCAUUGAUGCUCAAAACCAAAAGAAAGUUCUGGAGAUAACUGAGAAGGCUGACAAACAUCGAUCUAACAAUACACUUCCAAUGAAGUGCUUUGGUAUAUGUACGGACUAAAAUUCAUGUUUAAUGGAAUAAAGAAAGAUGUAAACAUUUAUUUGAUGCAUAAAUAAAUUCAAUAAGUAGCAUA